rnacentral:rRNA from 1 species
AGGUAAUAAUCCUGUAGUCGAAAAUGUUGUCUCUCUUGAGUGGAUCCUGAGUACGACGGAGCACGUGAAAUUCCGUCGGAAUCUGGGAGGACCAUCUCCUAAGGCUAAAUACUCUCUAGUGACCGAUAGUGAACCAGUACCGUGAGGGAAAGGUGAAAAGCACCCCGGAAGGGGAGUGAAAUAGAACCUGAAACCGUGUGCUUACAAGUAGUCAGAGCCCGUUAAUGGGUGAUGGCGUGCCUUUUGUAGAAUGAACCGGCGAGUUACGAUUUGAUGCAAGGUUAAGCAGUAAAUGUGGAGCCGUAGCGAAAGCGAGUCUGAAUAGGGCGUUUAGUAUUUGGUCGUAGACCCGAAACCAGGUGAUCUACCCUUGGUCAGGUUGAAGUUCAGGUAACACUGAAUGGAGGACCGAACCGACUUACGUUGAAAAGUGAGCGGAUGAACUGAGGGUAGCGGAGAAAUUCCAAUCGAACCUGGAGAUAGCUGGUUCUCUCCGAAAUAGCUUUAGGGCUAGCCUCAAGUGAUGAUUAUUGGAGGUAGAGCACUGUUUGGACGAGGGGCCCCUCUCGGGUUACCGAAUUCAGACAAACUCCGAAUGCCAAUUAAUUUAACUUGGGAGUCAGAACAUGGGUGAUAAGGUCCGUGUUCGAAAGGGAAACAGCCCAGACCACCAGCUAAGGUCCCAAAAUAUAUGUUAAGUGGAAAAGGAUGUGGCGUUGCCCAGACAACUAGGAUGUUGGCUUAGAAGCAGCCAUCAUUUAAAGAGUGCGUAAUAGCUCACUAGUCGAGUGACACUGCGCCGAAAAUGUACCGGGGCUAAACAUAUUACCGAAGCUGUGGAUUGUCCUUUGGACAAUGGUAGGAGAGCGUUCUAAGGGCGUUGAAGCAUGAUCGUAAGGACAUGUGGAGCGCUUAGAAGUGAGAAUGCCGGUGUGAGUAGCGAAAGACGGGUGAGAAUCCCGUCCACCGAUUGACUAAGGUUUCCAGAGGAAGGCUCGUCCGCUCUGGGUUAGUCGGGUCCUAAGCUGAGGCCGACAGGCGUAGGCGAUGGAUAACAGGUUGAUAUUCCUGUACCACCUAUAAUCGUUUUAAUCGAUGGGGGGACGCAGUAGGAUAGGCGAAGCGUGCGAUUGGAUUGCACGUCUAAGCAGUAAGGCUGAGUAUUAGGCAAAUCCGGUACUCGUUAAGGCUGA